CGAAUUCGCCCUUCCUACGGGAGGCAGCAGUGGGGAAUAUUGGACAAUGGGCGCAAGCCUGAUCCAGCCAUGCCGCGUGAGUGAUGAAGGCCCUAGGGUUGUAAAGCUCUUUUGUGCGGGAAGAUAAUGACGGUACCGCAAGAAUAAGCCCCGGCUAACUUCGUGCCAGCAGCCGCGGUAAUACGAAGGGGGCUAGCGUUGCUCGGAAUCACUGGGCGUAAAGGGUGCGUAGGCGGGUCUUUAAGUCAGGGGUGAAAUCCUGGAGCUCAACUCCAGAACUGCCUUUGAUACUGAAGAUCUUGAGUUCGGGAGAGGUGAGUGGAACUGCGAGUGUAGAGGUGAAAUUCGUAGAUAUUCGCAAGAACACCAGUGGCGAAGGCGGCUCACUGGCCCGAUACUGACGCUGAGGCACGAAAGCGUGGGGAGCAAACAGGAUUAGAUACCCUGGUAGUCCACGCCGUAAGCGAUGAAUGCCAGCCGUUAGUGGGUUUACUCACUAGUGGCGCAGCUAACGCUUUAAGCAUUCCGCCUGGGGAGUACGGUCGCAAGAUUAAAACUCAAAGGAAUUGACGG
rnacentral:rRNA from 1 species